UACAAGGAAGUGUGCUGACUUCUAGACUGU
rnacentral:piRNA from 1 species